rnacentral:lncRNA from 1 species
UUUGGCCCGCUCCGCUGAGGCCAGGCCUGUCUAAGGCCCGUAUAAUUCCGGGCCGGGCCGGCCCGAUAGUCAGCUAUGCGCUUGACCUCCCGAAGCUGUCUCCCUCAGCUCUCAACUCUGCUCCGGCGAUUUCUGACGAUUCCGGCGGCGCGAGACUAGAAGAAAAUCGAUUGCGGCCGGCGCCCAUCUCAAGCUCGCAUCGCAUCUCUCUUUCUAUCCGCAUCGCAGAUCUCUCUCGAUCUGUCCCCGUCCGUCCAACUCCUCAACUCUCAGUUUCUCGGUCUCUCUAUGUAUCCAUGGCUGGGAUGGGGUGGACGGGACGCAGCUCUCCUUGUCCAGGAUGGAGUGGACGGGGCACAUGCAUCUCUCUGCCUCUACGAAUUCUGUUGAAUCAUUUUCAGGGAGAGAAAGAGUUUAUGUAAUGAGUAAUUCUGUAGGAAAGUACUACAGCAUUUCCUCUUCUUUUUCCUGCAAUGUUCUCAAUUUGUUAAAUUCAUUCAUUUCUGGACUAUGGAUGUAGAAAUUUGUCUUGUGUUAUUGAAGGUUUGCUCAAUUGCUUUUUACAAGUGUCGGGCAUUUAUCUCUAGGCAUGACACCUGACGUGUUUGUUGUGCUGUUCUUCAAUCAGGUUGAGGGCAUCAAGGAUGGGU